rnacentral:rRNA from 1 species
UACGUAGGGUGCAAGCGUUGUCCGGAUUUAUUGGGUUUAAAGGGUGCGUAGGCGGCUCCUUAAGUCAGCGGUGAAAGCCCGGGGCUCAACCCCGGAACCGCCGUUGAUACUGGGGGGCUUGAGUAUGGACGAGGUUGGCGGAAUUGAGGGUGUAGCGGUGAAAUGCUUAGAUACCCUCAAGAACACCGAUUGCGUAGGCAGCUAACUAGGCCAUAACUGACGCUGAGGCACGAAAGCGUGGGGAGCGAACAGG